AACGAACGCUGGCGGCAUGCCUAACACAUGCAAGUCGAACGAGACCUUCGGGUCUAGUGGCGCACGGGUGCGUAACGCGUGGGAAUCUGCCCCUCGGUUCGGAAUAACAGUUAGAACUGACUGCUAAUACCGGAUGAUGACUUCGGUCCAAAGAUUGAUCGCCGAGGGAUGAGCCCGCGUAAGAUUAGGUAGUUGGUGGGGUAAAGGCCUACCAAGCCGACGAUCUUUAGCUGGUCUGAGAGGAUGAUCAGCCACACUGGGACUGAGACACGGCCCAGACUCCUACGGGAGGCAGCAGUGGGGAAUCUUAGACAAUGGGGGAAACCCUGAUCUAGCCAUGCCGCGUGAUCGAUGAAGGCCUUAGGGUUGUAAAGAUCUUUCAGGUGGGAAGAUAAUGACUGUACCACCAGAAGAAGCCCCAGCUAACUCCGUGCCAGCAGCCGCAGUAA
rnacentral:rRNA from 1 species